UACGAAGGGGGCUAGCGUUGUUCGGAAUCACUGGGCGUAAAGCGCACGCAGGCGGAUUGAUAAGUCAGGGGUGAAAUCCCGGAGCUCAACUUCGGAAUUGCCUUUGAUACUGUUAAUCUCGAGUCCGGGAGAGGUGAGUGGAAUUCCUAGUGUAGAGGUGAAAUUCGUAGAUAUUAGGAAGAACACCGGUGGCGAAGGCGGCGAGCUGGUCCAUUACUGACGCUGAGGCGCGAAAGCGUGGGGAGCGAACAGG
rnacentral:rRNA from 1 species